rnacentral:lncRNA from 1 species
CGGCCUCCCAAAAUGCUGCGAUUAUAGGCGUGAACCUGGCCACUAUUGUCUUUUUUAAAUUCACAUAUCCAGAACUGGUGGCUUACAGAAACCCAUUCUAGGAUAUGAGAUUAACUAAUUUAUUCAUUCAUUUAGUUAUCCAUGACUUCAAGAAAUAAUUAUUUGGUGCCAAUUCCUAGCUCUGUGCUAGGAAUUGGAACACGAGCAUUUCCUCUCCUGACAAGCAAGUGUAUAUAGCAGCUCUGCAAGGUUCUGUGUGGCACCUCGGGAAAGUGGUCCAGCGACAGGGGACACCUGGGGAAGAACGAAGCUCACCAGGGCUCAGGAAACAAGGGCUGCACCCUACAGAGGAACAGGAGUGGAGCAGAAGCUCUGUGGCCGUCAAGCAGGAGGUGAGGUUGUCCUGGACCAGCGCAGUGGCUGCUGAAUGGAAAACGGGACAGGCAUAGAGGGUACAUGAAGGUAUCUUGAAGGUCUUGCUCAAGAACUGGAUGUGGUGCAUGAAGAGAAGGAAGAAACGAUGAAUUCUUGGGUUUUGGUUUGAAAUUUGGUAAAUGUGCCAUUUACUGGGAUUGAAGCAGAGGGCAAGUGAAGAAUUGUUUUAGUUUAAACUUUGAGAUGACUCAGGUAUUGAAAUAGUGAGUAAGGAAUAGAAACUUGGGUUUGGAGGUUGGGGGAGGAUUCUGGGUUGAUUUUGAAUUUGGGAGCAGGUAGGUGUUAUUUAAAGUCCAUAGUGUAGGCCAGGCAUGUAAUCCCAGCACUUUCGGAGGCCGAGGUGGGCAGAUCACUUGAGGUCAGGAGUUAGAGACCAGCCUGGCUAACAUGGUGGAAAACCCAUCUCUAUUAAAAAUACAGAAAUUAGCCAGGCGUGGUGGCGCACACUUACAAUCCCAUCUACUCGGGAGGCUGAGACAGAAGAAUUGCUUGAACCCGGAA